AUUGAACGCUGGCGGCAUGCCUUACACAUGCAAGUCGAACGGUAACAGGUCUUCGGAUGCUGACGAGUGGCGAACGGGUGAGUAAUACAUCGGAACGUGCCUAGUAGUGGGGGAUAACUACUCGAAAGAGUGGCUAAUACCGCACGAGAUCUACGGAUGAGAGCAGGGGAUCGCAAGACCUUGUGCUACUAGAGCGGCCGAUGGCAGAUUAGGUAGUUGGUGGGAUAAAAGCUUACCAAGCCGACGAUCUGUAGCUGGUCUGAGAGGAUGAUCAGCCACACUGGGACUGAGACACGGCCCAGACUCCUACGGGAGGCAGCAGUGGGGAAUUUUGGACAAUGGGCGCAAGCCUGAUCCAGCAAUGCCGCGUGCAGGAUGAAGGCCUUCGGGUUGUAAACUGCUUUUGUACGGAACGAAAAGCCCCGGGUUAAUACCCUGGGGUCAUGACGGUACCGUAAGAAUAAGCACCGGCUAACUACGUGCCAGCCGCCGCCGUAA
rnacentral:rRNA from 1 species